AGAUUUAUUCAAACAUAAUUGAAGCGAUUUACCAAUGACUAAGAAGUAGGAAAGCUUCACUUCAUCGGUUCUUGGAGAAAAGGAAGAAUAGACUCCAACAUUUUACAGGCUUCUCUGCUACCCUUUUGUUGUUUCUCUAUGAAGUGGAUCAAUUAGAUCAGAUGUGUGUUUCUCUAUUUUUGUAAGACCGAGUCCUAUGCUCAAAAAUAUCUAUACAUAUUUGUGAAUGUUGUGGUGCGUUCUUAUUAGUACCAUAUUUAAGAGUGUAUUUCUGAUUGACCCCAAAAACAAUGUACUUAUAGUUAUUUACACUCAUUAUAUGUGAGUGACUCUAUUUAGUAUUAUUGUUAUAGUAAAUGUCCUCAAUAUCAUUCUUCUGAUAUUAAUUGCUUCAUCAACAUGAGUUUUAUAUUUUCGC